UACAGAGGUCCCAAGCGUUGUUCGGAUUCAUUGGGCGUAAAGGGUGCGUAGGCGGUUCGGUAAGUCGGGUGUGAAAACACGAGGCUCAACCUCGUGCGUGCAUCCGAUACUGCCGGACUAGAGGUAGGUAGGGGAGAUCGGAAUUCCUGGUGUAGCGGUGAAAUGCGCAGAUAUCAGGAGGAACACCGGUGGCGAAGGCGGAUCUCUGGGCCUUACCUGACGCUCAGGCGCGAAAGCUAGGGGAGCAAACAGG
rnacentral:rRNA from 1 species